CUGGAAAAGGUGCCAAGGAUGACGGAAACUCACAGAGCAGGACGCCACUCUAUUUGCAGAGUCCGAAUGAAUGUAACAUUCUCAGCUGAUCAGAGCUUUCCCAGCAUGAGAGUUCUUUCACUCAGCACUGCUGUAAAUCCAAACACCCAGGUCUCUACAUCUAUCUCCUACUGAGACAAGCUGAAAAGCUGCAGCCUCUGAGAGAAACGUGCUCACAUUUGAUGGGACUGGAAGGCGAGUGGGUCGUUGUGCAGGCUUCAAAGAAUUCUUGCAGUCUGAUAGAACUUCCAAAGCCAAGAGGUCUUUGUAAGUUUGAGUUUAAGAUACAUCUUUCAAACCAAAGAGAAAAU